rnacentral:rRNA from 1 species
GCUACUGUGCCAGCUGGUGAAUGGCUCGGCUCGAGAGCCGACGACGGACGUGCCAAGCUGCGAAAAGCCUGAGGGAGCCGCACGGAGGCGAAGAACUCAGGAUCUCCGAAUGGGAAUCCCUUUCACAAUUGCCUUGCGCAAUAGGGAACCCCCCGAAUUGAAACAUCUCAGUAGGGGGCGGAAAAGAACGCAACCGCGAUGUCGUUAGUAACCGCGAGUGACCGCGACACAGUCCAAACCGAAGCCCUCACGGGCAANNNNNNNNNNGUAUGAAGUGGCAGUACAACGCGCGUCAGCUCCAGAGUAGCAGGGGUCGGAUAUCCUCUGUGAACACCCCA